UCACUCCUGUCAGUGAAAUGGUCCCUAACC
rnacentral:piRNA from 1 species